UGAACAUCGUGAAACAACGUAGUUGGUAUACACGUCAUGGAACCAUGGAAACUCCGUCGGUUAGAGAUCCAACAACAACGGUGACCGUAGUGACGGUAGUGACAGUCGUCACAGUUACUGGGCCGGUGAAAUUCGACCCACACAAUCGUUGGAGCGUUGGAGAUCCCAGCCCCCUGCUUCGUUCAAACUUGUCCAAUUCCCCGCAAAAUCGUUACCAGGGGCAUCUGUCCCUUUUCUAUAAAUUGGUUUAACUAUUGAUAUUUUAAUAUGGCUGGAAAGAUAACUUCUCUACUUGAUGUGCUGACUAAUUAUCAAAGUAGUUUUAUUAUGUAAGGUACACAUUUUUCAGUAACUAAGGAGUUUGGUGACUGUGAGCCAGCAGGAUGCUGGGUGAAGCUCUUGUAGUAGUGGGUUAGCCUGAGCUAGUGACAGCAUUCUUCUUUACAACAUAAUGCAACUUACAUUAUGAUUUAAUAUGGCUGAUAACUGAAACUUCCUGACAACUUUUAGCAAGUCUCCAUGCCGAAUUUUAGAAGUCAGUCCAGUGGGUUUGGCACCGAUACCAAGUCACAGCAGAAGGCCAGACAUGACCACAUAAAGUUUUUCUUUUCUCCUUGCAUUGUAAAGAACACCUAACAAUAAAGAACUAGUUUCAUUGCUACUUUAA